rnacentral:ribozyme from 13 species
UUUUUUUUUUUUUUUUUUUUUUUUCUUCCGUCCAUC